rnacentral:lncRNA from 1 species
CACUAGAAUUUAGAAUAAUCCUACAUAUCAGAUAUAAAAGGGCUAAAUCUCUUAAUCUAGUCACUACAACAAAAACGGUCUAUAGCGACACUUUUAAAUAUAGGUACAUGUCUAAAAAGUGCUGCUAGCUAAAAUUACCGACACUUUUAAAAAGUGUUGCUAUAUGUGGAGUCGCUAGGUAUAUAGUGACAGUUAAAGAGUGUCACUAUAACCUAAAAAAGUGCUGCUAAUUUACCAAUAACUUAUUUAAGCAUUUAGCAACCGCCGAAACUCUAUCUCGUUGACUGCGGUGGCGGAGGAGGACGACAGGAAUGGCUCUUCGUCUAGAAUUUUAGUGGAUUGAGUGAAGAGAGAAGAAAAUAUGGUAAUUGAUUUUUCUUUCUUUUUUUUUCUUUUCUGUUUGUAAUCUGGCCAAAUGGACUGGGUGUGGUGGGUUGAGUAGAGUAAUCUUUUAUUUUUGGUUGAAUUGGGCUUUAUAUUUAGGCAUUAGUAGAUGUUUUUUUAAGUUUUAGCAUAAAUGGGACACUUACUCAAAAGUGUCCCAAACAUGUGUCCCUAUAACCUAAUUCUGCUGUAGUGUGGUUAUAGAAUUUUGAGCAAUGGUUAGAAACAAGAGGUUAAGAGGGUCAAGCGUAUUAGAGUUAGAGUAGUUUUAGAAUAGAUGACCCUCUGGAACGCGAAGCGUCAUAGUUGAUAAAAGUAAGGCAUUAUAGUUGGUAUUAGAGCCAAUACUAGUCUAAAAUGUGAGAUGAGUUUUGGCUAAGUCAGGUUAUAUAGCAGGGCAAAGCGCCGCUUCGCGGCUAAUGAACAUUGAGGGUAGAGUACGGCUGCCACAAGGUCGGCUAGAGACUAGCGAGACGAGCUAGGAAUAAGAGUAAUCCGAAAAUGAGUGACCUUCUGUGAUGA